rnacentral:rRNA from 1 species
UUUGAUUUUCUUCGGAAAUGAAGAUUUUGUGACUGAGUGGCGGACGGGUGAGUAACGCGUGGGUAACCUGCCUCAUACAGGGGGAUAACAGUUGGAAACGACUGCUAAUACCGCAUAAGCGCACGGUUCCGCAUGGAACAGUGUGAAAAACUCCGGUGGUACAGGAUGGAUUCGCGUCUGAUUAGCCAGUUGGUGGGGUAACGGCCUACCAAAGCAACGAUCAGUAGCCGGACUGAGAGGUUGAACGGCCACAUUGGGACUGAGACACGGCCCAGACUCC